ensembl:lincRNA
AUGGAAACACAAGGUGAGGGCGAUUACAGAGGACCCAGCCUCCAGCCUCCUCACCAGCCCGAGAGGCCAAGCUGCAAAGCUGCGCCGUUGUUUCAAGAACGCUCACUAGAGGGCAGCAGAGCCCACGUGUGCGCGCCUGGAGCGCGGGAAGGCUGCGCGGUCCCCAGCCUUCCGCAGGGGAGACGGGCCCUGGGCCUGGGUCCGAACAGCUGGAGAGGCCUUCUCAAUAUCGAUUCGCGCGAAGGAGCGACCCCACCUGCCUGCCGCGGUGACCCUGGUGUGUCCGCAGGUGCAGUUCUCCCGCAGGCCCCUUUCCUGGCCUCGGCAGGUGGGGGGCGGGGUCCAGAAUCUGCUGCCCGGUUACACCAGCUCCCGCCCCCACUCGGGGGCCCUCAGGGCUUCUGUGUGAGCGUGUGCGUGUCCCGCAGUGUCCAUCGCCGCUCAUGGUGCCACCGCGCAGUUUAUUUUUGCUGAAAUCCUUUUAAAACUCAAAGCCUAAGUAGGUCCUUGCAGGUCCUAAGGCAGUCCCUCCUUGGCUCAGCCUCACCCACCUUCCGUUUCAGCCUGAGCUCCCUGGUUCCUCUGCAGCGAGCUGAGCUGUUCUGGACCCUAAGCACAGGCUGCCUCCUCCAGGAAGCCCUCUAGGACCCCCUUCUCUGUACACCCUCGGUGUUUCGUCUGUAUCUCCUGGUCAUACUUGUCUCUGCUGUUCUUGACAAGCCUGGGGCUCCCGGGGGUGGGGGGUUCCUCUUUGCAGAGUAAGUUGAUUAAGUAGGCAUGGGUGAAAUGAUCUACCGUGAAUCCACAUGGCCUCAGAGCAAGAUGUGUUCUGCUCACUCCCAAAGCGUGGACUUGCGGGCUCUCGCCCUCUCAGCUGGCUCUCCCAGGGGCGUGUCCUACGCUCCGCCCCAAGACCAGUCUCCCUGUGGUGUUUCUCCCUCAGCAUAGUGGCCCCCCUUCCUAUUUGGGUGUCCGCCCUUGCUCUGGCUGAAGAAUAGGGGAGGAAGGAGCAGGGCCCUCCUCCAGACACAGCUUUCUCCCAGCCUCCGGAGGGCCUGGGAUGUCCCCGCAGGUAGGCAGGGCUCAUGGCCUCUCCUUCCCCUAGAAGGACCCCCAACUCUAAGCGGAAGUUGGACAAGGCUCCGGGCAAGGUCUACACAGGAAAGCCUGAAAGGACAAGCUACACCCUCUGCCCCUCCCUCCGGAAGGACCCAGUCUUGCUGACUCCGCCUUCCCUGGCCAGGAGUCUGCAGUUGCUCCUGAACCACCUCCAUCCUCGCUUCCCUCUGGGGCCUGGGUGCAGAGCUGCCUUCACCCUCUUGUCUCUCUCCUGUUCCUCCAGAGGCCCUGGGUCCUCCCAUCAGUCUCUGCCGCCUCGGGGCAGUGACCACCUUAACUCCCCAGACCCCUCAGCCUCGGCCGCUUCUCUGUGGCAAUGGCUCCCUCAGGCCCCUGGGCUCAGGGCCAUGUCAUGCCUUGUAGCGCGUGGGUGAUGUAGGGUGACUGCAUAGGGAGCUGGAGACAUCAUAGCACAGGAGUGACCCAGGUCUAAGUACCUUCAUGUCUCGCAGCCCAGGGGAGGUUGGGUGCUCCCCCCAGGUCAGGGGCACCCUUGUGCCAUCUGGACAGGAGGUGAUGAGAAGUAGCCCCCAAAUCAGAGCAGGGUUUGGUAGACCACACUUACAGUUAACUUGCAACGCAGUGCAUGCCCUGAGCUUUCGUGCUGGGUCUGAGAUGUUCAUUUGGUCUAUACCAAUUCCAUUCUUCCGUGCUCUUCAGAAAGGCAGCCCCAGGUGGGUCCCAUGGUGGGCUUCUUAGGUCUGAGUGGGAAUCAUUCCCAGGCCAGCAAAGCCACCUGCACAGCCCCAGGGGCCAUUGUGUGGUGGCGGAGCCCCGCCUCUGGGUUUACUUCUCUCUGUGCAUGGAGACUCCUGCCCAGCACGUGCGCCCUGCAGAAGCCAGCUCCCUGCCACUGGGCUAAU